rnacentral:rRNA from 1 species
UACAGAGGGUGCAAGCGUUAAUCGGAGUUACUGGGCGUAAAGGGCGCGUAGGCGGUUAUUUAAGUGAGAUGUGAAAUCCCUGGGCUUAACCUAGGAACUGCAUCUCAUACUGAGUAGCUAGAGUACUGUAGAGGGUAGUGGAAUUUCCGGUGUAGCGGUGAAAUGCGUAGAGAUCGGAAGGAACACCAGUGGCGAAGGCGGCUACCUGGACAGAUACUGACGCUGAGGCGCGAGAGCGUGGGGAGCAAAC